UUUCCUUGAUGUCUUGAAAAGAGCUGGGUGAAGCGUCUGGAGUUCUGGCCAGUCAGCUCCAUUUACCAUCAGAUGAGAACUCAUGAAAGUAUCUGAUUUCUUAAAGCACAUGGCAUUUUCAGAAUCUGAAAUUGGGGAAACUACCAAAAUCAAAAUGAAUGGUACAGUUGCUCUUCUACUCAAUCUUUGGCAAAAUCAAUAGAUAUGCUACCAUAAGUUUCUCUCAGUCCCAUCCUACCAAAGCAUCAUGACUAAGAAAAGACAGUCUUUCAAUGUGUGGAACUAAGACUGUCAUUAUCAAGAACUGCAGGCACACUUAUGAAGAAAACUGUAAUGUGAAAGCCAACUCAAACUUCAUAACAAUACUUUUGGAAAGUUAAGAUAAGAAUAUUGAAUUAUGAAAGUUUAGGGAAAUUUGUCUUCAUUUUCAUUGAUUUGAACUAUCUGCUUCCAUUCAAGAUUUUGCUAGAGAGACUGGUGGAAUAUUCCAGAGCUUUCUGAGAAUGAUUACAGACAUACAGAAAAAAAAAAAGGGCAGUUGAAGACAGGGGGAGACAAAUAGAAAGUCUCGGAACAGUGAAGCUGUUUUGUUAAGUGAUCAACAUACAAUAGAAAUGUUGAAGUGCUAACAGACGCUGGGAGAUCAGUUGUUUGUCAUUUUCAGGCACUGUGGCUCUCCACAAGGUGUUUCUCUCUGAUUAUAUGGAAAUAUAAAAAGAGAAGGAAAGUCAAAAGGAAACUCAAGAACAAAGAGAGGUUGCCUGAUACAAAAAAUAGGAGUGCCAAGAAUGCAUCCUGUAUCAAACAAAUAAACAAACAAAAUCCUACCAAGAUCUAAAAGGAGGUUAGAGAUAUUUGCUUGGACUCAUUUUGGAUAAGGUGAGGCUCUGCUUUUCUGCUUCAGAUGGAAGAUGUCGAUAGUUUUCUAUUUACCAAACAGAACGUUCUAAGUCCUUUCUUGUUAAUAAGGUUCAAAUGAAAGCUCAAUCUUCUAAGACAGUAGUAUCUGUUGGUAAGAUGUCUACAGUGAACAAAAGGAUAUGUAAACUCAGAGACAAUCAAGCACUAUGAUGCACUAAAUUAGAAACAGAAGGUGGACCCCAUUUUGUAAAAGUAUGGGAACGUCAGUGUUGACAUCAGAACCAAGUUUUGAGUAGUCAUAGCAGAUGGAAGCUCACACAGAAAUUAAGAAUGACCAUAUGGUACAU